CAAAAUGUAGCUUAAUUAAAACCACUCGCUUACACCGAAACCAUGUCUGUGCAACCCAGACCAUUUUGA
rnacentral:tRNA from 1 species